rfam:Hordeum vulgare subsp. vulgare, WGS project CAJW01000000 data, contig: morex_contig_50722
CAAAUACUUUCUUCGUUUCAAAAUUCUUGUCUUAGGUUUGUCUAAAAAUAAAUGUACCUAAAUAUUAAAACAUGACUAGAUACAUUUAUAUUUAACCAAAUUUAAGACAAAAAUUUUAGGACGGAGGGAGUACAGA